UACAGAGGUGGCAAGCGUUAUUCGGAAUUACUGGGCGUAAAGGGCGCGUAGGCGGCCUUCUCAGUCGGACGUGAAAUCCCCAGGCUUAACUUGGGAACUGCGUCCGAUACUGGAUGGCUUGAGUGCGGGAGAGGGAUGUGGAAUUCCUGGUGUAGCGGUGAAAUGCGUAGAUAUCAGGAGGAACACCCAUGGCGAAGGCAGCAAACUGGUCCAUAUCUGACGCUGAGGCGCGAAAGCGUGGGUAGCAAACAGG
rnacentral:rRNA from 1 species